UACGUAGGGUGCAAGCGUUAAUCGGAAUUACUGGGCGUAAAGGGCUCGUAGGCGGCCAACUAAGUCAGACGUGAAAUCCCUCGGCUUAACCGGGGAACUGCGUCUGAUACUGGAUGGCUUGAGUUUGGGAGAGGGAUGCGGAAUUCCAGGUGUAGCGGUGAAAUGCGUAGAUAUCUGGAGGAACACCGGUGGCGAAGGCGGCGUUCUGGACUGCAACUGACACUGAGGAACGAAAGCCAGGGGAGCAAACGGG
rnacentral:rRNA from 1 species